rnacentral:lncRNA from 1 species
AAUACUGAUGUACUAAAUGCAAGUAUGAUUUAGAUAAUGAAAUGAAGUCAGAUGUGAGCAUAACUAUAUUUAUCAUACUAGUAUCUUUUUCUUGUGAUUAUGAGUUUUUUUACUGGUGUUAUGUUUACAUAUGCUUGUUUUCGAAUGCAUUUUUUUUUGUAUGUUUUAAGCAGUUCCAUCUCUGAAUAGCACAAAGUUGGAUUUGAUCUGAAUCAUUAGCACAUAUACAUUUUGAACAGCUCAGCUUGCACCAAGCAAAGUUUUUUUAACUAGAAUUGUGUAUUAGGUCAAAUGGACCCAUUUUGAUGGUCACAUUCAAGUCAGUCCCCAGUCAGCUAUGUUACAUGGGUUCGGGUAUGGGUGUCGGGUGUGGGUAUGUGUUUAGGGGUCAGAUCCAUCAUAUCCCUUAGGAUAUGAGGACUUGCUUUAAAAAGGAACCAAAAAUGGAUAGGAGUAUGUGGACAUGUUAUCUCCAUCAUAUCAUGUUUUAGACCAUGAUGCAUAUUUUGAAAUUUUUUGGUUGUGGCAUACAUAAUUAUAUUUAAUUGAUAGAAACUUAUUUUUCUUUAUACAUAAGUCAGGAAUUAAAAAGCAAAUUUGCAUCAAAAGAAGGGUAGAUCUAAAUAGUAAACUGUAGGUGAAACAGCGACAGAAAUAUAAACUUCUAAUUUAAGUGGAUGGCAUCACAACCAUUCACCUUAUUUCUAUUAUUAAAUAGAGUGCAUCUCAUGUGCCAUCAGCUUACUAAUAAAGUGAGCUAACCUUAAGCCUUUUCCCUUUCUCAUCUCUCUUGAUGGCUCAAACUCGGCUGCCUGCAACCUCCUUGGAUAUCCUGUUCAACAAGCAGAAUGAUUGACGGCCAUUCUCCACCAUCCACCAGCUACACAAUCAUCCUAAUUGAGCCCAGUGGCAGCCGGCCUCAUCAGAGGUGGGUGAUAUGAAAGCCCUCUCUCUCUCUCUCUCUCNNNNNNNNNNNNNNNNNNNNAAGGGGCGUAGAACUCGACGAGGGCGCCGCGAUCUUGGCCGACCUCCUCCUCGAAGUUGGCCUCGGUGAGCACGAUGACGUCGUCGUCGGCGAGGGCGGAUACGAACAGGAGAGCUAGGGUUAGGGUUCCGAAGAACAAUACCGAAAUCUGAGAUCUCUCCAUCUCUCGCUCUUUCGGAUCUCUUCUUCCCUCCAAAUGUUUUUUUCUUUCCUCCUCUUUUUCCCAAACCCUAACCCUAGCGGCUGCGGCCCUCCACCACCUGAGAGAGGCCGCGCUCCUCCAGCGCCGGCAAGAUGCAGAUCUUCGUGAAGACCCUCACGGGCAAGACCAUCACCCUCGAGGUCGAGUCCUCGGACACGUCUCUCUCUCUCUCUCGCUCUCUCUCAUCAGAGAUCCUUGCUUCCUCUUUUCUCCCCUCCAUCUCUGCUCUUCCCUGUCCAUCUCUGCUCUCAGGGGGGAUGUCCGAGAGUAUUUACAAUGGGGCCAACUCAUAUUCCAUACCCAUAGUUUUCAUGUAGUGCCAGCACUGGUACGCAAAGGUUAAGCGGCGAGUCUGAAAACACAGCCAGUCAGAUCCAAUUUGACAAAAGACUUCUGAGUCUUGCGUAACUGCUUCAGAUGUCUGUUGUAGAUUGAAACAGAAAGAUAACUGAAAAUCUUUUCAGACUUGACAGAAUCUUACCAGUGUAUGUUGGCCAAUGGAGUCCUAAUAAUAUAUACACUAGAUGUUGUUAGAUAGCUUGUGACCUCUCAUGUGUCAAAUGAAGAUCAGAUAACAAGCAGCUUUCUAUGUUGACAAAAAAGCAAACUACGACAUUCCAGUUGUUCACAUGAAAGAAAUCUCUCAAAGCUUUAAAAACUAUAAAGCAAUCAGACCUCCUCGUUAAGAUCUACAAAUCUCACCAUAUUCCCUAUUACAACGCAAAUUCCUGGUGUGGGGCACAUGCGUCUCUACCCCUUGCUUAUUCAUCUCCGCAUCCACAUUGACAUAUCCAUCUCCAAGAAGAAAUUUCAUGAGUGGACUCCUUGGAUUCCUCUCUUCUUCCUUUCCUCAUUUUCGAUGGAUACCCUUUUUAGCAUCUACAUCUUUCUAAACUUCCUUUCAAAUAAUUAAGAGAAAAUCAGUAGGCACAUGAGGGUAAACAGGCAGUCUGCUUGUCAACAUAGUCUAAAAAAUCCUAAUCAGUGGGAUCACUGCCGUCCAUCAUAUGUUUUUGUAUUUCUCUUGAAUAAAUCACAUAUAAUGCACGUCCAAAAUACUACCAUUUUUAAAUGUCAGCAAAGUAUAUCACUUGAAUAUUCGUGCCUAAUUAAAUGCCAUUUUCAUUCAUCGCACAUCCGCUUAGCAGUUUUCACUUCUGCUUAAUGUUUCGCAAACUAAGGCACGUUCAGUUUCAUUUGCAACAAAUGACAGCAUGUUAAUAGUCUUUCAUUCACCAUGGCUCCUUCCCUAGAAGUCCAACUAAAAUGGUUAAUAUAC